rnacentral:rRNA from 1 species
GGGUGAGUAACGCGUGAGCAACCUGCCUUUCAGAGGGGGAUAACAACGGGAAACCGUUGCUAAUACCGCAUAAUACCGGAUGAUGGCAUCAUCGACCGGUCAAAGGAGCAAUCCGCUGAAAGAUGGGCUCGCGUCCCAUUAGGUAGUUGGUGGGGUAACGGCCUACCAAGCCGACGAUGGGUAGCCGGACUGAGAGGUUGAUCGGCCACAUUGGAACUGAGACACGGUCCAAACUCC